AUUGAUCUUUAAGUGAAGGCAGUAAGUGCAUUUUGCUGUUGAGGUAAAAGAAAAAAAAAGAAAACAAAGCCACAAACUGAAGAAACAUUCCUACUUCCUGUUUUGCUCUGAUCAUUCUUCACACCUGUUUCCAGUCAACAGAAAGAUUUCAUGACUAAACUGCAUCCUCACACUAGUUUUCAAAUCACUUCUGUGUUUGGAAGUGUUACAAGAAAGACGCUGUCCAAUAAGGGCUGUGUUGUGGUGUGUUGUGGGGUUGCUGUGUGGAACUGUGUGGAACUGUGUGGUGUGGUGCGGUGUGUUGUGUGGAACUGUGUGGUGUGGUGUGUGUUGUUGUGUAGAACUGCGUAUUGUGGUGCGGUGUUUGGACUAACUGUGUGUUGUGGUGCGGUGUGUUGUGUGGAACUGUGUGGUGUUGUGGUAUGUUGUGUGGAACUGUGUGUUGUGUUGUGGUGUGUUCUGUGGAACUGUGUGGUGUUGUGGCGUGUUGUGUAGAACUGUGUGUUGUGUGGAACUGUGUGGUGUUGUGGUGUGGAACUGUUUGUUGUGGUGUGGUGUGUUGAGUGGAACUGUGUGAUGUUGUGGUGUGUUGUGUGGAACUGUGUGUUGUGUUGUGGUGUGUUGUGUGGAACUGUGUGGUGGUGUGGUGUGGUGUGGUGUGUUGUGGUGUGGUGUGUUGUGUGGAACUGUGUGUUGUGGUGUGUUGAGUGGAACUGUGUGGUGUUGUGGUGUGUUGUGUGGAACUGUGUUGUGGUGUGGUGUGUUGAAUGGAACUGUGUGUGGUGUUGUGGUGUGUUGUGUGGAACUGUGUGUUGUGGUGUGGUGUGUUGAGUGGAACUGUGUGUUGUGGUGUGUUGUGUGGAACUGUGUGUUGUGGUGUGGUGUGUUGAGUGGAACUGUGUGUGGUGUUGUGGUGUGUUGAAUGGAACUGUGUGUUGUGGUGUGGCGUGUUGAGUGGAACUGUGUGUUGUGGUGUGUUGUGUGGAACUGUGUAUUGUGGUGUGGUGUGUUGAAUGGAACUGUGUGUGGUGUUGUGGUGUUUUGUGUGGAACUGUGUGUUGUGGUGUGGUGUGUUGAGUGGAACUGUGUGUUGUGGUGUGGUGUGUUGUGUGGAACUGUGUGUGGUGUUGUGGUGUGUUGUGUGGAACUGUGUGUUGUGGUGUGUGUGGUGUGUCGAACUGUGUGGUGUGUUGUAUUGUGUCUUGUGUCUUGGCCAAAUGAGACCAAAAUCAAUGUUUGUG
ensembl:lncRNA